CCCAUUCAAGUACUGAGCCUCUACGUGGCGAAAGGGAUCAACAAACGAAACGUCUGACUAAUCAGUA
rnacentral:ribozyme from 1 species